rnacentral:tRNA from 1 species
GGAAGGCUGGCAGAGAGGUUGAAUGCGUCGGUUUCGAAAACCGAAGAGGGGCAACACUCCUCCGGGGGUUCGAAUCCCCCGCCUUCCG